rnacentral:piRNA from 1 species
UCACAUAUCGAAAUCUUUCAG